rnacentral:rRNA from 1 species
GGGCGUUAAGUUGCAGGGUAUAGACCCGAAACCCGGUGAUCUAGCCAUGGGCAGGUUGAAGGUUGGGUAACACUAACUGGAGGACCGAACCGACUAAUGUUGAAAAAUUAGCGGAUGACCUGUGGCUGGGGGUGAAAGGCCAAUCAAACCGGGAGAUAGCUGGUUCUCCCCGAAAGCUAUUUAGGUAGCGCCUCGUGAAUUCAUCUCCGGGGGUAGAGCACUGUUUCGGCUAGGGGGCCAUCCCGGCUUACCAACCCGAUGCAAACUGCGAAUACCGGAGAAUGUUAUCACGGGAGACACACGGCGGGUGCUAACGUCCGUCGUGAAGAGGGAAACAACCCAGACCGCCAGCUAAGGUCCCAAAGUCAUGGUUAAGUGGGAAACGAUGUGGGAAGGCCCAGACAGCCAGGAUGUUGGCUUAGAAGCAGCCAUCAUUUAAAGAAAGCGUAAUAGCUCACUGGUCGAGUCGGCCUGCGCGGAAGAUGUAACGGGGCUAAACCAUGCACCGAAGCUGCGGCAGCGACACUGUGUGUUGUUGGGUAGGGGAGCGUUCUGUAAGCCUGUGAAGGUGUGUCGUGAGGCAUGCUGGAGGUAUCAGAAGUGCGAAUGCUGACAUAAGUAACGAUAAAGCGGGUGAAAAGCCCGCUCGCCGGAAGACCAAGGGUUCCUGUCCAACGUUAAUCGGGGCAGGGUGAGUCGACCCCUAAGGCGAGGCCGAAAGGCGUAGUCGAUGGGAAACGGGUUAAUAUUCCCGUACUUGGUGUUACUGCGAAGGGGGGACGGAGAAGGCUAUGUUGGCCGGGCGACGGUUGUCCCGGUUUAAGCGUGUAGGUGUGUGUUCCAGGUAAAUCCGGUUCACUUUAACACUGAGGCGUGAUGACGAGGCACUACGGUGCUGAAGCAACAAAUGCCCUGCUUCCAGGAAAAGCCUCUAAGCAUCAGGUAACAUCAAAUCGUACCCCAAACCGACACAGGUGGUCAGGUAGAGAAUACCAAGGCGCUUGAGAGAACUCGGGUGAAGGAACUAGGCAAAAUGGUGCCGUAACUUCGGGAGAAGGCACGCUGACACGUAGGUGAAGUGAUUUACUCACGGAGCUGAAGUCAGUCGAAGAUACCAGCUGGCUGCAACUGUUUAUUAAAAACACAGCACUGUGCAAACACGAAAGUGGACGUAUACGGUGUGACGCCUGCCCGGUGCCGGAAGGUUAAUUGAUGGGGUCAGCGCAAGCGAAGCUCCUGAUCGAAGCCCCGGUAAACGGCGGCCGUAACUAUAACGGUCCUAAGGUAGCGAAAUUCCUUGUCGGGUAAGUUCCGACCUGCACGAAUGGCGUAAUGAUGGCCAGGCUGUCUCCACCCGAGACUCAGUGAAAUUGAACUCGCUGUGAAGAUGCAGUGUACCCGCGGCAAGACGGAAAGACCCCGUGAACCUUUACUAUAGCUUGACACUGAACAUUGAGCCUUGAUGUGUAGGAUAGGUGGGAGGCUUUGAAGUGUGGACGCCAGUCUGCAUGGAGCCGACCUUGAAAUACCACCCUUUAAUGUUUGAUGUUCUAACGUGGACCCGUGAUCCGGGUUGCGGACAGUGUCUGGUGGGUAGUUUGACUGGGGCGGUCUCCUCCUAAAGAGUAACGGAGGAGCACGAAGGUUGGCUAAUCCUGGUCGGACAUCAGGAGGUUAGUGCAAUGGCAUAAGCCAGCUUGACUGCGAGCGUGACGGCGCGAGCAGGUGCGAAAGCAGGUCAUAGUGAUCCGGUGGUUCUGAAUGGAAGGGCCAUCGCUCAACGGAUAAAAGGUACUCCGGGGAUAACAGGCUGAUACCGCCCAAGAGUUCAUAUCGACGGCGGUGUUUGGCACCUCGAUGUCGGCUCAUCACAUCCUGGGGCUGAAGUAGGUCCCAAGGGUAUGGCUGUUCGCCAUUUAAAGUGGUACGCGAGCUGGGUUUAGAACGUCGUGAGACAGUUCGGUCCCUAUCUGCCGUGGGCGCUGGAGAACUGAGGGGGGCUGCUCCUAGUACGAGAGGACCGGAGUGGACGCAUCACUGGUGUUCGGGUUGUCAUGCCAAUGGCACUGCCCGGUAGCUAAAUGCGGAAGAGAUAAGUGCUGAAAGCAUCUAAGCACGAAACUUGCCCCGAGAUGAGUUCUCCCUGAGACUUAGAGUCUCCUGAAGGAACGUUGAAGACGACGACGUUGAUAGGCCGGGUGUGUAAGCGCAGCGAUGCGUUGAGCUAACCGGUACUAAUGAACCGUGAGGCUUAACCUUACAACGCCGAAG